rnacentral:rRNA from 1 species
UGCAAGUCGAGCGAAUGGAUUGAGAGCUUGCUCUCAAGAAGUUAGCGGCGGACGGGUGAGUAACACGUGGGUAACCUGCCCAUAAGACUGGGAUAACUCCGGGAAACCGGGGCUAAUACCGGAUAACAUUUUGAACUGCAUGGUUCGAAAUUGAAAGGCGGCUUCGGCUGUCACUUAUGGAUGGACCCGCGUCGCAUUAGCUAGUUGGUGAGGUAACGGCUCACCAAGGCAACGAUGCGUAGCCGACCUGAGAGGGUGAUCGGCCACACUGGGACUGAGACACGGCCCAGACUCCUACGGGAGGCAGCAGUAGGGAAUCUUCCGCAAUGGACGAAAGUCUGACGGAGCAACGCCGCGUGAGUGAUGAAGGCUUUCGGGUCGUAAAACUCUGUUGUUAGGGAAGAACAAGUGCUAGUUGAAUAAGCUGGCACCUUGACGGUACCUAACCAGAAAGCCACGGCUAACUACGUGCCAGCAGCCGCGGUAAUACGUAGGUGGCAAGCGUUAUCCGGAAUUAUUGGGCGUAAAGCGCGCGCAGGUGGUUUCUUAAGUCUGAUGUGAAAGCCCACGGCUCAACCGUGGAGGGUCAUUGGAAACUGGGAGACUUGAGUGCAGAAGAGGAAAGUGGAAUUCCAUGUGUAGCGGUGAAAUGCGUAGAGAUAUGGAGGAACACCAG